UACAGAGGUCUCAAGCGUUGUUCGGAUUCAUUGGGCGUAAAGGGUGUGUAGGUGGCGCGCUAAGUCGGGUGUGAAAUUUCGGAGCUUAACUCCGAAACUGCAUUCGAUACUGGCGUGCUUGAGGACUGGAGAGGAGACUGGAAUUCAUGGUGUAGCAGUGAAAUGCGUAGAGAUCAGGAGGAAGACCAGUGGCGAAGGCGGGGCUCUGGACAGUUCCUGACACUGAGACACGAAGGCCAGGGGAGCAAACGGG
rnacentral:rRNA from 1 species